UCCCCCAUGCUGUUCUUGUGAUAGUGAGUUCUCAUGAGAUCUGAUGGUUUUAAAAGUGGCAGUUUUUUCCUGAACUCUCACUCUUCCCUCCUGCCGCCUUGUGAAGAACGUGCCUGUUUCCCCUUCACUUUCCGCCAUGAUUGUAGGUUUCCUGAGGCCUCCCCAGCCAUGUGGAACUUAUCAGGACUCCAAUUCUGCUCAGGAUGACAAUGGACUCAACAACAACAACAACAACAAAAUAGCUGUGUUGCCCAGCUUCCUUUCCAACUGGAGUCAGCUACAGGAUGAGAUUCGGGCCAAUGACAUUUAAGAAAAACUUCUUGUUGCACUUCCAAUAAUCCAUUUUAAAAGGGGACAGAUUCAUCAGCAUAUGCUUUCUGCCUCGAGUCCAGGGUUUCUCAACACUUUGGGCCAGAUAAUUCUUGCUCUGGGGUUUGUCCUGUAAAUUGUAGGAUGUUUAGCAGCAUCUUUGGCUUCUACAAAUUAGAUACCAGGAGCAACCCAUGUCCCCCCUCCGCAAGUUGUGACAACCAAAAAUAUCUCCAUAUAUUGCCAAAUGUCCCCCUGGUGGCAAAAUCACCUCCAGCUGAGAACUACUGCUUUAGCCUUUCCUCUUCUUCCUUUCUGGAAUGCCGAUGCAACGCCAGAAGCAGAGCAGCCAUCUAGUAAUCACAAGGCAACACAUAUGAGGAAAAAAUCUACAUGCUGAAGAUGGUGGGAUGAAAAGCUGAUGGCAUUUGAAGGCCAGCAUAUUAGAUCUGGACUGCCUCCCUCUUUUCCCUUCAUGACAUACAGAAAAUAAAGCCCUUAUUUGUU